UCUUAAAUUAAUAUCACUUAUACACUACAAUGAUAACACACUUAUAUUAGAAAUGAUAACACCACAAUUAACAGCAAUAAAAGAAAGCAAGAGCAAUAUAUAGUUUAUUGAGAUACAAUGUUUGCUGUUUAGUUGUCAAUAUAAGACUGACUGACUUUAAUCGCGCAUCUAUAAAACAAGAGAAGAAGGCAUUUGUUUUCUAGCUAUUCAAAUAUUUAAAAGAUCAGUUUCACAUUCGUUACAAUAUAUAUAUGUAUCUAACUACGGGUCUGUGUACUUCUCUGAUUCAUAGUAUAUAUAAAGUAUACGAAAUAAAUGGAUUACGUGCUUGUGCGUGUCUUUUAGUAAUCCGACGCCCCACGUGACGUCAUGAAGACAGUAGAUGUAUCUGCUACAUUGGUUCCGUGCUUUUGAGAAUCACGUUCUAUGUGUUGCCUCGGUAAUUCCUAACUUUAUAUGUGAAAUUUUUAAUGUUAAAGAAAGAAUGCAUUGUUUUAAAUAUGUUCAUAUUAAUAAUAACUUUUAUAGAGAGUGAUUCAAUACAUACUAUUUAAAGUAAACUAUUAAAUGUGAAUUCAACUUGUGUUUGUUUAAGAAAGACGCUAUGUUCAUUAGCGUAUAGUGAAUAAGAAAAAAAUCAAAAGUUAUAAGUAAAGUGCUUUUUUCAUUAUUAUAAAAAACUUUUGUUAUACGCGUUAAAAGUAUUUUUGUGUCGACAAUCAUCAUCACAGUAAUUAUGACUGAUACUCCUCAAAUAAAUUAGAGUUUUUUGAGAGAUUUAGUGAAUUUAAGUGGUAAAAUUACAGACAUUAUUGUCAGAAUGGAUGGCCUGGAAGAAAGCGUUGCCAAAUUACAAAAAUAUAUCGACUUUAGCAAGAAACAUCAUACCAAUAAUGAGAAUAUUGACCAAAAUUACAGUACUGAUCAAACGAGACGUAGUAAUUGAGAAAUGAAAACACUACCUAUUGCGACCAUCAAAAAAUUCGAUGAAUUUGAUCAUAAACUUUUCGCAGAUAAUCCGUUUUGAAGGAUAAUUAUUCUUCGAUUAUUACGUUUGAUUAAUGAGAAUCAUGAAAUGACCCAAAAUAUUGAAUCUAUGAUGCGUACCUAUUUUACAAGAGAUGUCGCAUUCCAUUUUACUUCUAUUAAAAAAGUUUCAGAAGAAAAAGUGUCCAUAGACAAAAAUUACUUCCGAUUUAUAUCAGAAGUGGUAAGAUUUCCAAAAAGUAUAACAAGUCCACUUUCCGAAAGUAAUUAAAAAAAUCGUUACAAAGCGUCAUAAAUAACGUCGGAAAUUGGGACGGACAACAAUUAAUUAGGAAAUCAAAAACAAUGGAUGAAAAUCUUCAAACACCACUUGAACAGUAAUAAAAAAAUAUGUGUGUUUCUACGGUAAAAUAUUACACGUUUAGAAAAAUAUUACUAAUUUUACAUAAAAUAUUUUUGUUUGGAAAAAUGAUCUACAAGUUUAGCUAAAUAUUAUCAUUAUAUAGAAUAUUUUUGUUUAAAAAAAAACUAGAUGUUUAGCGAAUAUCAUUAUAACAGAGAAUAUUUUUGUUAAAAAAAUAUCUACAUGUUUAAAUAAAUAUUGUUAUAACUAUAUGUAAUACUUUUGUUUGCUAUUUUAAUUUUCACCCGACUAGAAUUUUUCGUAAGAACCUGAUAAGGUCAUCAUCGGGUUUAACCUAUUUCAAAAACAAGGACCAGGUUAGGAUUUCCUGACAAGAAACUGG